rnacentral:rRNA from 1 species
GUAAGGAAUAUUGGUCAAUGGACGAAAGUCUGAACCAGCCAUGCCGCGUGGAGGAUGAAGGUCCUCUGGAUUGUAAACUUCUUUUAUAUGGGACGAAAAUGGGGCUUUCUAGCUCAACUGACGGUACCAUAUGAAUAAGCACCGGCUAACUCCGUGCCAGCAGCCGCGGUAAUACGGAGGGUGCAAGCGUUAUCCGGAUUCACUGGGUUUAAAGGGUGCGUAGGUGGAUUUGUAAGUCAGAGGUGAAAUCUCCGGGCUCAACUCGGAAACUGCCUUUGAUACUAUCAAUCUUGAAUAUUGUGGAGGUUAGCGGAAUAUGUCAUGUAGCGGUGAAAUGCUUAGAUAUGACAUAGAACACCAAUUGCGAAGGCAGCUGGCUACACAUAUAUUGACACUGAGGCACGAAAGCGUGGGGAUCAAACAGGAUUAGAUACCCUGGUAGUCC